AGAGUUUGAUCCUGGCUCAGGACGAACGCUGGCGGCGUGCCUAAUACAUGCAAGUCGAGCGGACAGAUGGGAGCUUGCUCCCUGAUGUUAGCGGCGGACGGGUGAGUAACACGUGGGUAACCUGCCUGUAAGACUGGGAUAACUCCGGGAAACCGGGGCUAAUACCGGAUGGUUGUUUGAACCGCAUGGUUCAAACAUAAAAGGUGGCUUCGGCUACCACUUGCAGAUGGACCCGCGGCGCAUUAGCUAGUUGGUGAGGUAAUGGCUCACCAAGGCAGCGAUGCGUAGCCGACCUGAGAGGGUGAUCGGCCACACUGGGACUGAGACACGGCCCUGACUCCUACGGGAGGCAGCAGUAGGGAAUCUUCCGCAAUGGACGAAAGUCUGACGGAGCAACGCCGCGUGAGUGAUGAAGGUUUUCGGAUCGUAAAGCUCUGUUGUUAGGGAAGAACAAGUGCCGUUCGAAUAGGGCGGUACCUUGACGGUACCUAACCAGAAAGCCACGGCUAACUACGUGCCAGCAGCCGCGGUAAUACGUAGGUGGCAAGCGUUGUCCGGAAUUAUUGGGCGUAAAGGGCUCGCAGGCGGUUUCUUAAGUCUGAUGUGAAAGCCCCCGGCUCAACCGGGGAGGGUCAUUGGAAACUGGGGAACUUGAGUGCAGAAGAGGAGAGUGGAAUUCCACGUGUAGCGGUGAAAUGCGUAGAGAUGUGGAGGAACACCAGUGGCGAAGGCGACUCUCUGGUCUGUAACUGACGCUGAGGAGCGAAAGCGUGGGGAGCGAACAGGAUUAGAUACCCUGGUAGUCCACGCCGUAAACGAUGAGUGCUAAGUGUUAGGGGGUUUUCCGCCCCUUAGUGCUGCAGCUAACGCAUUAAGCACUCCGCCUGGGGAGUACGGUCGCAAGACUGAAACUCAAAGGAAUUGACGGGGGCCCGCACAAGCGGAGGAGCAUGUGGUUUAAUUCGAAGCAACGCGAAGAACCUUACCAGGUCUUGACAUCCUCUGACAAUCCUAGAGAUAGGACGUCCCCUUCGGGGGCAGAGUGACAGGUGGUGCAUGGUUGUCGUCAGCUCGUGUCGUGAGAUGUUGGGUUAAGUCCCGCAACGAGCGCAACCCUUGAUCUUAGUUGCCAGCAUUCAGUUGGGCACUCUAAGGUGACUGCCGGUGACAAACCGGAGGAAGGUGGGGAUGACGUCAAAUCAUCAUGCCCCUUAUGACCUGGGCUACACACGUGCUACAAUGGACAGAACAAAGGGCAGCGAAACCGCGAGGUUAAGCCAAUCCCACAAAUCUGUUCUCAGUUCGGAUCGCAGUCUGCAACUCGACUGCGUGAAGCUGGAAUCGCUAGUAAUCGCGGAUCAGCAUGCCGCGGUGAAUACGUUCCCGGGCCUUGUACACACCGCCCGUCACACCACGAGAGUUUGUAACACCCGAAGUCGGUGAGGUAACCUUUUAGGAGCCAGCCGCCGAAGGUGGGACAGAUGAUUGGGGUGAAGUCGAAACAAGGUA
rnacentral:rRNA from 1 species